rnacentral:rRNA from 1 species
AACGAACGCUGGCGGCAGGCCUAGCACAUGCAAGUCGAGCGAGACCUUCGGGUCUAGCGGCGGACGGGUGAGUAACGCGUGGGAACGUGCCCUUUGGUACGGAAUAGCCCCGGGAAACUGGGAGUAAUACCGUAUAAGCUCUUCGGAGGAAAGAUUUAUCGGCAAAGGAUCGGCCCGCGUUGGAUUAGGUAGUUGGUGGGGUAAUGGCCUACCAAGCCGACGAUCCAUAGCUGGUUUGAGAGGAUGAUCAGCCACACUGGGACUGAGACACGGCCCAGACUCCUACGGGAGGCAGCAGUGGGGAAUCUUAGACAAUGGGGGAAACCCUGAUCUAGCCAUGCCGCGUGAGCGAUGAAGGCCUUAGGGUUGUAAAGCUCUUUCAGUGGGGAAGAUAAUGACGGUACCCACAGAAGAAGCCCCGGCUAACUCCGUG